CCUUCGAUAGCUCAGUUGGUAGAGCGGAGGACUGUAGUGGAAUUACUCUGGUUAUCCUUAGGUCGCUGGUUCGAUUCCGGCUCGAAGGA
rfam:Monodelphis domestica chromosome 1, whole genome shotgun sequence.